GAGAAGGCUAUGUUGGCCGGGCGACGGUUGUCCCGGUUUAAGCGUGUAGGUGUGUGUUCCAGGUAAAUCCGGUUCACUUUAACACUGAGGCGUGACGACGAGGCACUACGGUGCUGAAGCAACAAAUGCCCUGCUUCCAGGAAAAGCCUCUAAGCAUCAGGUAACACGAAAUCGUACCCCAAACCGACACAGGUGGUCAGGUAGAGAAUACCAAGGCGCUUGAGAGAACUCGGGUGAAGGAACUAGGCAAAAUGGUGCCGUAACUUCGGGAGAAGGCACGCUGACACGUAGGUGAAGUGAUUUACUCAUGGAGCUGAAGUCAGUCGAAGAUACCAGCUGGCUGCAACUGUUUAUUAAAAACACAGCACUGUGCAAACACGAAAGUGGACGUAUACGGUGUGACGCCUGCCCGGUGCCGGAAGGUUAAUUGAUGGGGUCAGCGUAAGCGAAGCUCCUGAUCGAAGCCCCGGUAAACGGCGGCCGUAACUAUAACGGUCCUAAGGUAGCGAAAUUCCUUGUCGGGUAAGUUCCGACCUGCACGAAUGGCGUAAUGAUGGCCAGGCUGUCUCCACCCGAGACUCAGUGAAAUUGAACUCGCUGUGAAGAUGCAGUGUACCCGCGGCAAGACGGAAAGACCCCGUGAACCUUUACUAUAGCUUGACACUGAACAUUGAGCCUUGAUGUGUAGGAUAGGUGGGAGGCUUUGAAGUGUGGACGCCAGUCUGCAUGGAGCCGACCUUGAAAUACCACCCUUUAAUGUUUGAUGUUCUAACGUGGACCCGUAAUCCGGGUUGCGGACAGUGUCUGGUGGGUAGUUUGACUGGGGCGGUCUCCUCCUAAAGAGUAACGGAGGAGCACGAAGGUUGGCUAAUCCUGGUCGGACAUCAGGAGGUUAGUGCAAUGGCAUAAGCCAGCUUGACUGCGAGCGUGACGGCGCGAGCAGGUGCGAAAGCAGGUCAUAGUGAUCCGGUGGUUCUGAAUGGAAGGGCCAUCGCUCAACGGAUAAAAGGUACUCCGGGGAUAACAGGCUGAUACCGCCCAAGAGUUCAUAUCGACGGCGGUGUUUGGCACCUCGAUGUCGGCUCAUCACAUCCUGGGGCUGAAGUAGGUCCCAAGGGUAUGGCUGUUCGCCAUUUAAAGUGGUACGCGAGCUGGGUUUAGAACGUCGUGAGACAGUUCGGUCCCUAUCUGCCGUGGGCGCUGGAGAACUGAGGGGGGCUGCUCCUAGUACGAGAGGACCGGAGUGGACGCAUCACUGGUGUUCGGGUUGUCAUGCCAAUGGCACUGCCCGGUAGCUAAAUGCGGAAGAGAUAAGUGCUGAAAGCAUCUAAGCACGAAACUUGCCCCGA
rnacentral:rRNA from 1 species